rnacentral:rRNA from 1 species
CCUACGGGAGGCAGCAGUAGGGAAUGUUCGGCAAUGGGGGGAACCCUGACCGAGCAACGCCGCGUGAAGGAAGAAGUUAUUCGUAAUGUAAAGCUCUUUUAACAGGGAAGAAAGAGAAAUUUGACGGUACCUGAAGAAUAAGCUCCGGCUAACUACGUGCCAGCAGCCGCGGUAAUACGUAGGGAGCGAGCGGUAUCCGGAAUUAUUGGGCGUAAGGGGUGCGUAGAUGGCAUAGUAAGUCUUUGGUAAAAAUGCUGGGCUAAACCCAGUAGGGCAAAAGAUACUGCAAAGCUAGAGUAUGACAGAGGCAAGUGGAACGACAUGUGUAGCGGUGAAAUGCGUAGAUAUAUGUAAGAACACCAGUGGCGAAGGCGGCUUGCUGGGUCGAUACUGACAUUGAGGCACGAAAGCGUGGGGAGCAAACAGGAUUAGAUACCCCAGUAGUC